GACGAAGGAUGCAAGCGUUAUCCGGAAUUAUUGGGCGUAAAGAGCUCGUAGGCGGUUUGUCGCGUCUGCUGUGGAAACUGGGGGCUCAACCCCCAGCCUGCAGUGGGUACGGGCAGACUAGAGUGCGGUAGGGGAGACUGGAAUUCCUGGUGUAGCGGUGGAAUGCGCAGAUAUCAGGAGGAACACCGAUGGCGAAGGCAGGUCUCUGGGCCACUACUGACGCUGAGAAGCGAAAGCAUGGGGAGCGAACAGG
rnacentral:rRNA from 1 species